UGGAACGGGACGCAAGCGCCGCCGAGUCCAGCAGGCGUGGCAGCUUCUGCGCCUGCGCAGUUCCAGUUUCACGUAUCCAUUAACCACCUGUGCGGGUUUUCGCUGCCUUCUGGAGAGUGGAGGUUGUAUCGAGGGGCGUGGCAGAGUCGCCCGAGGCUUAUCUCAGCUGGGAGCGCCGGAGAAGCUGUGAGGGGAGUCCCGCCUAGACACUGGCUAUCGUGGGAGGGGGCUGCUCUGCAGCUUGGACACCUUCUCCGCUGGCGCGUGUCACUGCUCGCCCACCAAGCCCUUUAGUCCUCGGCGUUUUGCUGACUCACGCCAACUCUCGAACCUCGACGUUCUUUCCGCUCAGUCCAGAGUCGAUCGGUUUCAUUUAGUCCCGCUGGUUGAAUCAGCUUGGGCAGAGUAUACAAAGCAGAAUGAACCUGCAGUGGGAGAAGUGAGGGAACGACUUACCUGAUGCUAGAAGUCGCAGAACCAGCAAGGUGCCAACAGGAAGUAGCAUGAGGGUCACCAAUGCUCUACAAGCCUCUGCUGCCUCUCGAUGGCCAGCUGCUCAGCAGCAGCUUUGGGGGAAGCUCUUACUGUAACCUGCCGCGGUACAGCUUGGCCAUCUAGGCUCCAUAGCAGUCUCACCAGACCUGGCCUCUCCUUUUUACCCAGACUGAGUCAGGCUCUGAAGCCCUAGGCAACAUCUCUCCUGGGACCACCAUCAGGAAGGAAAAGGCCGCAGCACCUG